UACGUAGGGUGCAAGCGUUGUCCGGAAUUACUGGGCGUAAAGGGCUCGUAGGUGGCCAACUAAGUCAGACGUGAAAUCCCUCAGCUUAACUGGGGAACUGCGUCUGAUACUGGAUGGCUUGAGUUUGGGAGAGGGAUGCGGAAUUCCAGGUGUAGCGGUGAAAUGCGUAGAUAUCUGGAGGAACACCGGUGGCGAAGGCGGCAUCCUGGACCAACACUGACGCUGAGUGAGCGAAAGC
rnacentral:rRNA from 1 species